rnacentral:rRNA from 1 species
UGAGGAAUUUUGCGCAAUGGGGGAAACCCUGACGCAGCAACGCCGCGUGAGUGAUGAAGGCCUUCGGGUCGUAAAGCUCUGUCAAGUGGGAAGAACCUACAUAUGGCUAAUAUCCAUGUGUACUGACGGUACCAUUGAAGGAAGCACCGGCUAACUCCGUGCCAGCAGCCGCGGUAAUACGGAGGGUGCAAGCGUUAUUCGGAAUUAUUGGGCGUAAAGAGCACGUAGGCGGCUAGUUAAGUCAGAUGUGAAAGCCCGGGGCUUAACCCCGGAAGUGCAUUUGAAACUAAUUGGCUUGAGUAUGGGAGAGGGAAGUGGAAUUCCUGGUGUAGAGGUGAAAUUCGUAGAUAUCAGGAGGAACACCGGUGGCGAAGGCGACUUCCUGGACCAAUACUGACGCUGAGGUGCGAAAGCGUGGGGAGCAAACAGG